UACGUAGGGGGCUAGCGUUGUUCGGAAUCACUGGGCGUAAAGCGCACGUAGGCGGUUUUGUAAGGCAGGGGUGAAAUCCCGGGGCUCAACCUCGGAACUGCCUUUGAUACUGCGAAUCUUGAGUCCGAUAGAGGUGGGUGGAAUUCCUAGUGUAGAGGUGAAAUUCGUAGAUAUUAGGAAGAACACCAGUGGCGAAGGCGGCCCACUGGAUCGGUACUGACGCUGAGGUGCGAAAGCGUGGGGAGCAAACAGG
rnacentral:rRNA from 1 species